rnacentral:rRNA from 1 species
AUUGAACGCUGGCGGCAGGCCUAACACAUGCAAGUCGAACGAGUGGCGGACGGGUGAGUAAUGUCUGGGAAACUGCCUGAUGGAGGGGGAUAACUACUGGAAACGGUAGCUAAUACCGCAUACCAUCGGAUGUGCCCAGAUGGGAUUAGCUAGUAGGUGGGGUAAAGGCUCACCUAGGCGACGAUCCCUAGCUGGUAUGAGAGGAUGACCACCCACACGGGAACUGGUACACGCGCCAGACUCCUACGGGAGGCAGCACUGGGGAAUAUUGCACAAUGGGCGCAAGCCUGAUGCAGCCAUGCCGCGUGAAUGAAGAAGGCCUUCGGGUUGUAAACUACUUUCAGCGGGGAAGCGUUACCCUCAGAAAAAGCACCGGCUAACUCCGUGCCAGCAGCCGCGGUAAUUC